GGGCUGGAGCUCAGUGGCAGAGCACUUGCCUAGCAUGUGUGAGGCACUGGGUUCGAUCCUCAGCACCACA
rnacentral:tRNA from 1 species